GAUGAACGCUGGCGGCGUGCCUAAUACAUGCAAGUCGAGCGAACAGACGAGGAGCUUGCUCCUCUGACGUUAGCGGCGGACGGGUGAGUAACACGUGGAUAACCUACCUAUAAGAGUGGGAUAACUUCGGGAAACCGGAGCUAAUACCGGAUAAUAUAUUGAACCGCAUGGUUCAAUAGUGAAAGACGGUUUUGCUGGCACUUAUAGAUGGAUCCGCGCCGCAUUAGCUAGUUGGUAAGGUAACGGCUUACCAAGGCAACGAUGCGUAGCCGACCUGAGAGGGUGAUCGGCCACACUGGAACUGAGACACGGUCCAGACUCCUACGGUAGGCAGCAGUAGGGAAUCUUCCGCAAUGGGCGAAAGCCUGACGGAGCAACGCCGCGUGAGUGAUGAAGGUCUUCGGAUCGUAAAACUCUGUUAUUAGGGAAGAACAAAUGUGUAAGUAACUAUGCACGUCUUGACGGUACCUAAUCAGAAAGCCACGGCUAACUACGUG
rnacentral:rRNA from 1 species